rnacentral:rRNA from 1 species
AGUGAACGCUGGCGGUAGGCUUAACACAUGCAAGUCGAACGGCAGCACAGUAAGAGCUUGCUCUUACGGGUGGCGAGUGGCGGGCGGGUGAGGAAUACAUCGGAAUCUACUUUUUCGUGGGGGAUAACGUAGGGAAACUUACGCUAAUACCGCAUACGACCUACGGGUGAAAGCAGGGGAUCUUCGGACCUUGCGCGAUUGAAUGAGCCGAUGUCGGAUUAGCUAGUUGGCGGGGUAAAGGCCCACCAAGGCGACGAUCCGUAGCUGGUCUGAGAGGAUGAUCAGCCACACUGGAACUGAGACACGGUCCAGACUCCUACGGGAGGCAGCAGUGGGGAAUAUUGGACAAUGGGCGCAAGCCUGAUCCAGCCAUACCGCGUGGGUGAAGAAGGCCUUCGGGUUGUAAAGCCCUUUUGUUGGGAAAGAAAAGCAGCAGGUUAAUACCCCGCUGUUCUGACGGUACCCAAAGAAUAAGCACCGGCUAACUUCGUG